rnacentral:rRNA from 1 species
CAAAACUCAAAAACUUGUCUCAGUUCGGAUUGUAGGCUGAAACUCGCCUACAUGAAGCUGGAGUUGCUAGUAAUCGCGAAUCAGCAUGUCGCGGUGAAUACGUUCCCGGGGCCUUGUACACACCGCCCGUCACACCAUGAGAGUUGGCAAUACCCAACGUACGUGAUCUAACCCGCAAGGGAGGAAGCGUCCUAAGGUAGGGUCAGCGAUUGGGGUGAAGUCGUAACAAGGUAAC